UGGGGAAUAUUGCACAAUGGGCGAAAGCCUGAUGCAGCCAUGCCGCGUGUGUGAAGAAGGCUCUAGGGUUGUAAAGCACUUUCAGUAGGGAGGAAAUGCUGUUGAUUAAUACUCAACAGUCUUGACGUUACCUACAGAAGAAGCACCGGCAAACUCCGUGCCAGCAGCCGCGGUAAUACGGAGGGUGCGAGCGUUAAUCGGAAUUACUGGGCGUAAAGCGCGCGUAGGUGGUUUGAUAAGCUAGCUGUGAAAGCCCCGGGCUUAACCUGGGAACUGCAGUUAGAACUGUCUGACUAGAGUACAGUAGAGGGUGGCGGAAUUUCCUGUGUAGCGGUGAAUGCGUAGAUAUA
rnacentral:rRNA from 1 species